AAAACGCUUGCUUUGCUUUCUUGUACUAACGGUGAACGAUUUUAAAAUAAUUUCCUAUUGUUGUGAUAUAUUAGACCUAUAUUGAGAAAUUAUAUCGACCAUUCUAAUGAUUUUAUAAACGGUUUAAAAAAAUACUUAGUGGAAUAAAGGUUUCCAACCGGUAUUGUAAAGGAAGUAUAACCUAUAACACCAUGGGUGACUCCGAUUUUAGCAAGUUGUUACAGCAAGCGGAACAGCUAACUACAGAGAUAGAAGGCAAUGAAGAACUGCCAAGGGUUGAGCGCUCCCUGGGACAGGUGUUGGAGGCUUCACAGGAGUUAUAUUCCAAAGUUAUUCAAUCUGGCGCCAACGAUAUCCAGGCCCAUUUGCUGUUCGGUUCAAAAGGAAUAGAUUUGCAGCAAAUAUCUCAAAAGCUAGAUACAUUAAGUUCGAAACGCACAUUUGAGCCCCUGCAGCCUAUUGCGGAUUCAGAUGUAGAGAGUUUCUUGAAAAAUGAGAGAGAAAAUGCCAUACUGUCAUUGAUUGAUGAAGUUAAUAGAAAUGCAUUACAAACAGUUGAAGAUCAGAAAUGGGAGCACAUGGUCUCAGAAUGGAACAAGGAAAAGAUCAAGCUAAUGAAUGCCAUGAUAGGCCCCUCACAGAACUGGCUUGACUUGAAACGCACAGCUGAGCCUCCAAGCAUUGCAGACACUCCCAAGAAAUUUGGGCUCUCUAUCCUAGACCCUGUGGAGGUGGCAUAUGCGAAGCAGGUUCAACAGUACAAUAAGUUGGUGUUCCAGGGUUCUAAGUCAAGGACACCUUUAUAUCAGAAGUUUGCGCAAGUGGCUGAGGAGCUGAAUGACCCGAAAGUAAAAGAAAUGUGGGAAAUUAUCAAGACCAUGGCCAAUGUUCCACUGCUCGCAAGAGAGGAGGACCCCUUGAAAUUGCGAGGAAACCCCACCAAUCAACAGUAUUUCAUAGCACAAGGAAAGAAAUAUUUGGAAAAGAGGUACAAACAAUACAUGAGCGACGUGGUACGCACGAAUCCCGGCGGCGCCCUGCGCGGCGGCGAACCAGGCACGUACCCCCUUGUGCGGGGCUUCGUCGCCCUGCGCCUGCAGGCCGCGCCCGCGCUCGCCGACGGCACUAUCGAUGACCGUCCCCUCUGGCCUAUGGUGUACUACUGUUUGAGAAGCGGUGAUGCUACAGCGGCGCUGCAUUGUCUUAGGAAGGCAGGGCGUGACCAUGAAGAGUUUAUAGCAGCCCUAGAGGAGCACAUCAGCAAUCCAGAGAAGGCUCUCAGUGAUAAGCUGCAAACUGCCAUCAACUUCCAGUACAGAAUCCAAGUUCGAAAUUCAACUGAUCCAUAUAAACGAGCCGUAUACUGUGUAGUGGGCGGCUGCGACCCUAGCGACGAACAUUCGGAAGUUGGUCGCACGGCCGACGACUAUCUAUGGCUGAAACUAGCCGUCAUCAAGAGCGGCUCCACACAGACUGAGUCCUUCACAUACUCCGACUUGCAAAAAUUGAUCUUAGAAGAAUAUGGUGAAACGCACUAUCACGCCUACGAAAAACCACUGGUGUACUUCCAAGUGCUAACAUUGACUGGACAGUUUGAACCGGCUAUUGAAUUCCUGUCGAGAAUACCUAGAUAUCGAGUACACGGUGUUCAUAUGGCACUGGCGCUACAUGAUGUUUACAUGUUGGGGACACCUCGCAACGUUCAAGCACCACUACUGUCGGUGGACACUGAAGACCCGCCCCCACUGCGCCGCCUCAACUUGGCUCGCCUGUUGCUACUCUACGUUAGAAAGUUCGAGCUCACGGACCCCUCCGAUGCUUUACAUUACUACUUCUUCCUCAGAAACUUGAAAGACCCCGAAGGCAAGAACCUAUUUAUGUGCUGUUGCACGGACCUAGCCCUGGAGUGCCGCGACUACGAGUUACUGUUCGGUCGUUCUGACACCAACACCGGCGUGCGCAGUCCGGGCUUACUCGAUCAGUUUAACAACCCGCACAUUGACAGCAAGGUGAUCGCCCUAAACGUAGCCGAGCAGCUGGUCAACAAAGGCCUAUUCGAAGACGCUAUUACUGUGUACGACAUCGCUGAGAAUCUCGAGAAGGUUCUAGAACUGUUCUGCAUGCUGCUCCCUCAAGUGCUGGUCGCGGGGGGCGGCGGCGCGCUGCGCUCCCGCCUCGGCGCGCGCGCGGAGCACGUGGCCCGCCGGCUCCGGCGCGAGGGGCCUGCUUUACCGCCGGCACUUGUUGAGGCGUAUACGAAGCUGUGCAAGCUGAUUACAUUCUUUGAUCAAUUCCAUGCGGAGAAUUACGAUGCUGCACUAGAGACACUACGCGAGUGUGAACUAGUCCCUCUCCGCCGCAGCGAGCUCGAGGCUCGAGUAGCGGGAGCCCGAGCAGCACGCGGCGCCCUGUUGCGAGCGCUGCCGGCCGUGCUGCGCGCCGUGUGCACCAUCCUCGUGGCGCAGCGGCAGCGGCUGCGCACCGCGCCCAGGGAGUCCAUGCUCGGCGCGCCGCACACCAACACAGAGAAGGUACAGGGGUUCACAGACACUACGCGAGUGUGAACUAGUCCCUCUCCGCCGCAGCGAGCUCGAGGCUCGAGUAGCGGGAGCCCGAGCAGCACGCGGCGCCCUGUUGCGAGCGCUGCCGGCCGUGCUGCGCGCCGUGUGCACCAUCCUCGUGGCGCAGCGGCAGCGGCUGCGCACCGCGCCCAGGGAGUCCAUGCUCGGCGCGCCGCACACCAACACAGAGAAGGUACAGGGGUUCACAGACACUACGCGAGUGUGAACUAGUCCCUCUCCGCCGCAGCGAGCUCGAGGCUCGAGUAGCGGGAGCCCGAGCAGCACGCGGCGCCCUGUUGCGUGCGCUGCCGGCCGUGCUGCGCGCCGUGUGCACCAUCCUCGUGGCGCAGCGGCAGCGGCUGCGCACCGCGCCCAGGGAGUCCAUGCUCGGCGCGCCGCACACCAACACAGAGAAGGUACAGGGGUUCACAGACACUACGCGAGUGUGAACUAGUCCCUCUCCGCCGCAGCGAGCUCGAGGCUCGAGUAGCGGGAGCCCGAGCAGCACGCGGCGCCCUGUUGCGUGCGCUGCCGGCCGUGCUGCGCGCCGUGUGCACCAUCCUCGUGGCGCAGCGGCAGCGGCUGCGCACCGCGCCCAGGGAGUCCAUGCUCGGCGCGCCGCACACCAACACAGAGAAGGUACAGGGGUUCACAGACACUACGCGAGUGUGAACUAGUCCCUCUCCGCCGCAGCGAGCUCGAGGCUCGAGUAGCGGGAGCCCGAGCAGCACGCGGCGCCCUGUUGCGAGCGCUGCCGGCCGUGCUGCGCGCCGUGUGCACCAUCCUCGUGGCGCAGCGGCAGCGGCUGCGCACCGCGCCCAGGGAGUCCAUGCUCGGCGCGCCGCACACCAACACAGAGAAGCAACUGGAAUGGUUACGGGAACAAGCCGAGGUGCUGAAUACGUUCGCGGGCAACAUCGCGUACAGAAUGCCGGGCGACACCUACAGUCAGCUCGCUCAGAUGCAGAUCCUCAUGCACUAACCAAUAGAGAUCACUUCCGAAUAACAAACACGUAAUUAUUAAAAUAUUUUUGUAAUUAAUAA